GAGCGCAACCCUUAUCCUUUGUUGCCAGCGAUUAGGUCGGGAACUCAAAGGAGACUGCCAGUGAUAAACUGGAGGAAGGUGGGGAUGACGUCAAGUCAUCAUGGCCCUUACGACCAGGGCUACACACGUGCUACAAUGGCGCAUACAAAGAGAAGCGACCUCGCGAGAGCAAGCGGACCUCAUAAAGUGCGUCGUAGUCCGGAUUGGAGUCUGCAACUCGACUCCAUGAAGUCGGAAUCGCUAGUAAUCGUGGAUCAGAAUGCCACGGUGAAUACGUUCCCGGGCCUUGUACACACCGCCCGUCACACCAUGGGAGUGGGUUGCAAAAGAAGUAGGUAGCUUAACCUUCGGGAGGGCGCUUACCACUUUGUGAUUCAUGACUGGGGUGAAGUCGUAACAAGGUAACCGUAGGGGAACCUGCGGUUGGAUCACCUCCUUA
rnacentral:rRNA from 1 species